AAAUUUCCCACCACUGCGUGCUGUGAGAAUCAGCAGGUCACCGCCUCAUCCGUCCCCUUCGUACCCGGCAAGAAGAGCAUAAAGGAAACAUGCGUGCUGUAUACUUUUUGAGCAUUUCAGUUGGUGUUCCCUUUGCAGAAAUUUCCCACCACUGUGUGCUGCAAGAAUCAGCAGGUCACCGCCUCAUCUGCUGCCAUCAUGCCCGGAUUGUGAUAAAGACGAAUUAUAGAGUUCUUGUUUAGAGUACUUCACAAGUUUAGUGCCUAUUUCUGUUCCUCGGUUCACCACAAUGGAAUGCAACAAGGAAGAAGCUUCAAGAGCCAAGGAUGUGUCUGAAAGAAAGCUGCAUGAAGCAGACUUUCCUGGUGCCAAAAAGAUGGCUCUCAAGGCUCACCAGCUUUUUCCUGGCCUUGAAAAUAUUUCUCAGCUGCUUGCUGUUUGUGAAGUUCAUUGCUCUUCUUCUGUUAAGAUCAAUGGGGAGACAGACUGGUAUGGAAUUCUUCAAGUAGAACCAACUGCAGAUGACAUGGUACUUAAAAAACAGUACCGCAAACUUGCUCUUUUACUUCAUCCAGAUAAGAACAAAUUUGCGGGUGCUGAAGCUGCUUUUAAGUUAAUUGGUGAAGCCUACAUGACACUGACAGACCAUGUAAAACGUUCUUCCCAUGACAAUAAAAGGAAAGCAGUUUUUGCAACUUCUGCCCCUGUACCAAAGAAGCGGGCACGGGCAUCAAAGAAAACUGAUCCUGCUCAUAAGACGAACAACAAGGAGAACUUUGGUGCUCCACAAACCCAGAAGAAUCCACAGCAACAGGCUGGAAAGUCAAGUGGAUUAUCCAGUUUCUGGACUAUUUGCUUGACUUGUGGAACAAAAUACCAGUAUCCUUGUAGCUCGCUUAUGAGGUUUGUCCUCUGCCGAAUCUGUUCAAGGUCUUUCCUUGCCUAUGAUUUGUCCAAGAAAUCUGUUCCUGCUGGAGUGGACACAGCAUAUCCAGGGAGUGGAUUUGGGACGCAGCCGCAAAAGUUCCCUCCUAGUCAGCAAGCUCAUGUUACUUACCAGGGACAAAACAAUCAGAGUUUUCCUGGUUGGACUCAUCCCGCUCACCAGCAACAGCAAUCUCAGAAUGUUCCUAAUCAGCAAACUCCUGCUGCUAACCAACAACAGCACUCUCAGAGACGUCCACCCAGUGCAGGGUCAAAGAAUGCUAUGAGCUCUGAGGGUGUAGGUGAUCCUAACAAUAAAGGAGCCACAGAUAGCACAAAAGUAUCAAGAGCACCAUCCAGAAAACAAAAUGGUGCAGGUAGAACUGAAUUGCCAUUUGCGCAGCAAUCUCAGGAUGUUCCUAAUCAGCAAACUGCUACUGCUAACCAACAACAGCAGUCUCAGAGCCGUCCACCUAGUGCAGUACCAACAAAUGUUAUGAGCUCUGAGGGUCUAGGUGAUCCUAACAGUAAAGGGGCCACAGAAAGCACAAAGGUAUCAAGUGCACCAAUCAAAGAAAAAGAUGGUGCAGAUAGAACUGAAUUGCCAUUUGUGCCUUCUGCUAAACUUUCACCUACAAACAUGCAGAAAAGGGGAAUACAGUCUCAGCAUUUUCCUAGUCAGCAAACUUCUCCUGUUAAUCAGCAAGUUCAGUCUCAGAAACCCAGUUUUAAUGAAGGGUCAAGUAAUCUUAACAGUAUGGGAGUGUCAGACAGUAAUGUCACAGUUAAUGCCAGGACAUGUACUAACAUGAAUGUACCAAGAGCAUCACUUAAUAAAGAAAAUGGUUCAAGCAGAACUGAGUCACCACUUGCAAGUUCUGAUAAAGUUUCACCUGCAAACAUGGGAAAAGGGGUGAUGAAGGAUGCUAAUGGUGCAGUCAAAACAGGGCAGAAUCCUCAGAGAUCAAGCCAGCAGGAAAAUAAUGUCAGUAAUGAAGAUGGCAGUGGUGGUUGUAGAAAAGGCAGUGAUAAUCUUCAUGAUCCUCCUGUGGCCAAAAGGAUAAGGAAAGGAUACUCUUCAUUGAAUGCUGACAAGAAUGGUGGAACAGUACGCGAAGAUGGUAAUGUGUACACCGCACAAGCAUGCAGUAUUCCAAUUACAAAGACUCCAAAUGAAAAUCUGGAGGUGGUCAAUGGCUUGGAUGAGAAACAAGGAGCAAGCAAAAAAGAGGAACUGCACAACUCUGGAAGAGAUGGCGUUGCUAGUUCUGUCGUCAAUAGUAUUCCUUGUGAAGGUGAUGUCUCGUAUCCAGAUCCAGAAUUUUAUGACUUUGAGGAAAAUAGGGAUGCAGCUCAAUUCAAAGCUGAUCAAAUAUGGGCUGUUUAUGAUGACAGUGAUUCCAUGCCAAGGUACUAUGCUCGAAUUAAGCAGGUUCACCCAAACUUCAUGUUGUGGUUCAGUUGGCUAGAGUUUGAUCCUCUGAAUGAUGCUGAGAAGGCAUGGUAUUCUAAGGACAUGCCUGUUGCUUGUGGUCGUUUCAGAAUUGGGAAAACAAUCUUAACAGAAGAUAGAAAAAUGUUUUCCCAUGUUGUUUCUUGGACAAAAGGAAAGAAGAGAAACAGCUAUGAGAUUUAUCCAGUGAAAGGCGAAGUAUGGGCCCUAUUUAGGAGAUGUGACUUCAACCCGAGUUCAGGUUCCAGUGACCAUAGGAACUACAGAUAUGACAUUGUAGAAAUAAAAUCAGACUUUGCUGUGGGCGUUGGCACACAUGUCGCUCCCUUAGUAAAGGUUAAAGGUUUUGUUAGCCUGUUUGUGCGGUCAGACAAGGAAGAACCAUAUUUGAUUCCUGGUGGUGACACACUAAGGUUUUCACACAACAUCCCUUUUCAUAGGUUGUCAGAAGCUGAUAAGCCACAUAUCCCUAAUGGCGCCUUUGAGCUGGAUCCUGCAUCUAUGCCUUCUAACUUGGAAGAAGCAUCUUCGUCUGCAGACCUUAACAGGAGUAGCACUCAAGAAGGUAAUAUUGGAGGCAAUGUUUCGUCUACCAGAGACUCUUUUAAGUGUGAAAUGCCUGCUGGUAAGACCAAAGAGGGUCUGGAUAGCGCUGCUACAAAUGAAGGUAAUGUUCACAAUGGAGUGAAGAAACCCAAUAUCAAUGCAGAUGGCAAGCACGAUAAUGGCUCAGAGGCUUCUGUAAUUGAUGCUCAUACUGUUGACCAAUGGGAUGAUAGCUUUCAAUCUGAAUCUCCAGCAACUUUUGUGUAUCCCGAACCAGAGUUUUUCAACUUUGGUGAUAUAAGGUCAUUUGACAAAUUCAAGAGUGGACAAAUUUGGGCACUCUAUUGUGACAUCGACAAGUUCCCAAAGUACUAUGCCUUCAUAAAGAAAGUUGAUCAAGAUGACUUAACAAUCCACAUAAGAUGGCUUGAGUACUGUCCAUGUGGAGAGACAGAGAAGCGUUUGGUGCAAGAUGGUCUGUCUGCUAGCUGUGGAAUAUUCAGACUUAGCAGUCAAAGUGACAACUAUGAUUGCACAAGUGUCUUCUCUCAUAUCAUGGAAGUGACACCGGUUAGUAAAGGAAAGAAGUAUGAAAUUCUUCCUCGUGUUGGCCAGGUAUGGGCUAUAUACAAGAACUGGAAUCGUGGCUGGAGCUUUGAAAAUUUUAAAAGCUGUGAAUAUGAUCUUGUGGAGGUCCUGGAGAUUUCUGCUGCCUCUCUAACAUUGUCCUAUCUCACAAAAGUGGAUGGUUUUAGUACUGUAUUCAUGCUAGAGAGGAAAGGUGAAUCUACAAGUGCCGUGAAAAUAUUAAGAAGUGACAUGAUGAUGUUCUCACAUCAGAUUCCUUCAUACCGCAUGACAAAUGAAGGCGAUGAACUCUGUGGUUACUGGGAACUUGAUCCAGCAUCUGUGCCUGAAAAUUUCCUGGCUAGAAAAACAAAGUGAAGCAAAAGCUAUAUUGCUCAACAGGAUGAAGUUAAUAGUUGAUUGCUCAUCAAAAUUUACAUCGUUGACAAAGCUGCAGCAUGAAGAUGGUUCUUGCUGUUGGUUGUAUCAAGUGUCAAGUAGGCAGGUUAGGUUAUUAGGUUGCUAUGCCACCUGAUUCCAAGUAAUCAGGUCUGGUCUUCAUGUUGACUUACCUUAUAAAUCGUGUUCUGCAUAGUUGAUGGUAACAACUCCUUUUGUAUGCAACUUUGUAACCCUGAGUAUGCUUGAAAAGAAACAGGUGGCAGUGGCAUUCAUUUCAGCCUAUACUUACCCUCAGAAAGUUAGUUGCUUUCUGUCCAACCGCUGAUAAUGAUAGGCAUAUGUUUGUAACUGUAAUGUUUGUGAAUGACCUCUUCCAUGUUGUUCCUCUA